rnacentral:rRNA from 1 species
CGGGAGGCACCAGCAGUGGGGAAUCUUGGACAAUGGGCGCAAGCCUGAUCCAGCCAUGCCGCGUGAGUGAAGAAGGCCUUAGGGUCGUAAAGCUCUUUCGCCAGAGAUGAUAAUGACAGUAUCUGGUAAAGAAACCCCGGCUAACUCCGUGCCAGCAGCCGCGGUAAUACGGAGGGGGUUAGCGUUGUUCGGAAUUACUGGGCGUAAAGCGCGCGUAGGCGGAUUAGUCAGUCAGAGGUGAAAGCCCAGGGCUCAACCCUGGAACUGCCUUUGAUACUGCUAGUCUUGAGUUCGAGAGAGGUGAGUGGAAUUCCGAGUGUAGAGGUGAAAUUCGUAGAUAUUCGGAGGAACACCAGUGGCGAAGGCGGCUCACUGGCUCGAUACUGACGCUGAGGUGCGAAAGUGUGGGGAGCAAACAGGAUUAGAUACCCUUGUAGUC